ACUUAGUCAAGAUUGACAGAGUACUUGUGAAGAAAUACAUAACAGACAAGGAAAACACUUCCACAGAUAAUUAGGAUUGUGGAACAACUGCAGAUUACAAAUGUUGCAGAUAACUUAAGAGGGGAAGAAUAUGAAGCUUAAAAUGUUAUUAUUCCCCAAGUCUUCAGAAACUUGAAUCCUAUUUAGUGUUUAGUUGAAGAAUUAGCAAUCACAUUGAGGCGUCAAGUAAAGCAUCAGAGACAUCAAGUUCCACGUUCAGGUUUUUGGCUGAAGGCAUUCCUGCAACCACUUCUUCUUCAAUGCCACACUCGUUUGUUCCUCUUCUGAUGAUGGUUACUUCAAG
rnacentral:misc_RNA from 1 species